ACGCUCGACACCUACGGAGGCAGCAGUCGGGAAUAUUGCGCAAUGGAGGAAACUCUGACGCAGUGACGCCGCGUAUAGGAAGAAGGUUUUCGGAUUGUAAACUAUUGUCGUUAGGGAAGAAAAAAGACAGUACCUAAGGAGGAAGCUCCGGCUAACUACGUCGCANCACGCCGAGUAUNGNGGCGNGNGAGAG
rnacentral:rRNA from 1 species